rnacentral:lncRNA from 1 species
UUGAAUUAAAAAUUUUAGGUGACAAUUCAAUAAUAUAAUUUACUAGGAAUUGUCUUAGAUAUUUUUAUUACCAUUUCUUUUCUCUAACUUGUAUAAAAAUAAUUUAAAAAAUAAAAAGUAUUUGUUGGGCCCGCUUAGGACCAUUUGGGCCCGCUUAGGACCGGACCGACCCACUUAAUACGGGACCGUUAGUUCGUGAUCCUGGUCUCGAACCGGUUCCAACAAGAAGCUCGCGAAGUCCGGGACCGCUUAAGACCGGCCCGCCUAGGACCGACCCACUUAGGACCGAGUCCGGCCCACAUACCACCCUUACCUAAAGCACUCUAACGUGUUUAUUAUUCAGGCCCGACCCACAUACCACCCUUACCUAAAGCACUCUAACGUGUUUAUUAUUCAUUCUCUCCUUUAAGAUUAUUGCAGAGGCACGGAGUUAUGGAAGUAAAAUCGUGGCGAAGAUGUUAUGAAUUUCAUUGAUACUUGGCCCGUGUAGUAGUUAAAGAAAAGAACAUCAUAUAUAUUUACAAUAGUUGGGCCAACCAAUUUGUGAAUGGACCAGCAAACUAAGUGCAAACGGAGCAGCUAUAUCUAGACUCAAUUAAAUUAUACUUAAAAGGUCCACUCUCCAAUAUGACCAAUUAUCCUUGAAAGAGAAGCAAAUUCCCCUGCCCACUUAAUGAAACAAUUUUAUUGCAAUAGCUAGUCCCAAGCAGAGCUUUCCCGUUUUUAUAAAAGCCAAAAGCUCAUGACCCAUCAACACUUUUUAAUUUGUUCACCAAGCAAAUUAUAAUCCAAACAAUCACAAAAAUAGGAUAAACCAAUGCAUUGAACUUUCCACAAAAGCACAGCGAAACACUAACUCAAGCAACUAAUAGGACAAAGCAGCAAAAAUCAGAAGAAAACUGACAAUAAAAAAUGUAUUAGGAGCGAAAACAGUAAAGAAGAAUGAACCUCAAACGAAUCUGAACAAACAGAACAAAGAGCCUCCAAACCUAGUCUUUUACAAACUCUUCGAUAUACUGAACUUCAGAUGGACUCGACCGGAGCUAACGAACCACGACCUCAUCCGCAACCUCAAACUCGACUUAAAACUUGUGUUCCAAGGAUUGUUCGGUUGGAAUUUUGGUAGUAUUUUGGUACUGUUUCACGGUAGAAUUAGCAGCGAUUUGAGCUACUGUUUCAGGUCCCUUCUUGCUCGUUUUUGGGUGGUUUUGAGCAGCGUUUUGGGGUGGAUUUGAGCAGUUUUGGAGGCUGAUUUUGGUGCAUUUCAAUGGCAGAUUUCAGCUGAGUUUUCCCAGCUGAUUUUCACGUUGGUUUCAGGUGGAAUUUUGAGGAGUUUCAUGGUUGUGUAACUUGUGUUAUGGAGUCAUUUUCGCAGCUGCUUUGCUGGUUUCGAAGGGCUGUUUUACAGCUGGGUUUGGAGCUGAAUUUCAGCAGGAGUUUGGGAUGGUUAAUGGCUGCUUUACAUGGUGUUUUGGGGACUGUUUGGUGCUGGUUUUGUACCUGGGUCGGCGGCGGAUUUGAGGUCGUUUUGGUGCUUUAAUUGUGCUGAUUUUGCUGCGUUCUCAUGGAGCUUUAAGGGCUAUUUUUGGGGCAGCAGUUAUGGUUGUUUGAUGAUGAUUUCCAUAGUGUUUUGUGGGAGUAAAGGUGCUGUAUUUUUAGGGGCUAUUUACAGCAGGUUUUUGCUGCCUUUUGGACUUAUUUUCACUGGAGUUUGGUGAGGGAUUUGAAGUUUUGUUUGAUGAUAUUGUGAGGAAGAAGAAGAAAGCUUCCUUUUUUGCCCAUCCCCUCUCAAUGUGUCCCCCUUUUUUUGUAUGUGUGUUUAUAUAGGAGGAGUG